GGGCCCUAGCUCAGUGCUAGAACACCUGCCUUGCAUGCAAAAGGUUCCAGGUUCAAUCCAUGCCAUCUCCA